rnacentral:rRNA from 1 species
GAUGAACGCUGGCGGCGUGCCUAAUACAUGCAAGUCGAGCGAACGGACGAGAAGCUUGCUUCUCUGAUGUUAGCGGCGGACGGGUGAGUAACACGUGGAUAACCUACCUAUAAGACUGGGAUAACUUCGGGAAACCGGAGCUAAUACCGGAUAAUAUUUUGAACCGCAUGGCUCAAAAGUGAAAGACGGUCUUGCUGUCACUUAUAGAUGGAUCCGCGCUGCAUUAGCUAGUUGGUAAGGUAACGGCUUACCAAGGCAACGAUGCAUAGCCGACCUGAGAGGGUGAUCGGCCACACUGGAACUGAGACACGGUCCAGACUCCUACGGGAGGCAGCAGUAGGGAAUCUUCCGCAAUGGGCGAAAGCCUGACGGAGCAACGCCGCGUGAGUGAUGAAGGUCUUCGGAUCGUAAAACUCUGUUAUUAGGGAAGAACAUAUGUGUAAGUAACUGUGCACAUCUUGACGGUACCUAAUCAGAAAGCCACGGCUAACUACGUGCCAGCAGCCGCGGUAAUACGUAGGUGGCAAGCGUUAUCCGGAAUUAUUGGGCGUAAAGCGCGCGUAGGCGGUUUUUUAAGUCUGAUGUGAAAGCCCACGGCUCAACCGUGGAGGGUCAUUGGAAACUGGAAAACUUGAGUGCAGAAGAGGAAAGUGGAAUUCCAUGUGUAGCGGUGAAAUGCGCAGAGAUAUGGAGGAACACCAGUGGCGAAGGCGACUUUCUGGUCUGUAACUGACGCUGAUGUGCGAAAGCGUGGGGAUCAAACAGGAUUAGAUACCCUGGUAGUCCACGCCGUAAACGAUGAGUGCUAAGUGUUAGGGGGUUUCCGCCCCUUAGUGCUGCAGCUAACGCAUUAAGCACUCCGCCUGGGGAGUACGACCGCAAGGUUGAAACUCAAAGGAAUUGACGGGGACCCGCACAAGCGGUGGAGCAUGUGGUUUAAUUCGAAGCAACGCGAAGAACCUUACCAAAUCUUGACAUCCUUUGACAACUCUAGAGAUAGAGCUUUCCCCUUCGGGGGACAAAGUGACAGGUGGUGCAUGGUUGUCGUCAGCUCGUGUCGUGAGAUGUUGGGUUAAGUCCCGCAACGAGCGCAACCCUUAAGCUUAGUUGCCAUCAUUAAGUUGGGCACUCUAAGUUGACUGCCGGUGACAAACCGGAGGAAGGUGGGGAUGACGUCAAAUCAUCAUGCCCCUUAUGAUUUGGGCUACACACGUGCUACAAUGGACAAUACAAAGGGCAGCGAAACCGUGAGGUCAAGCAAAUCCCAUAAAGUUGUUCUCAGUUCGGAUUGUAGUCUGCAACUCGACUACAUGAAGCUGGAAUCGCUAGUAAUCGUAGAUCAGCAUGCUACGGUGAAUACGUUCCCGGGUCU